GAUGAACGCUAGCGAUAGGCUUAACACAUGCAAGUCGAGGGGCAGCGAGGGUAGCAAUACCUGUCGGCGACCGGCGCACGGGUGAGUAACGCGUAUGUAACCUGCCCGCAACAGGGGGAUAACCCGGCGAAAGUCGGACUAAUACCGCAUAAAACCGGGGUCCCGCAUGGGAAUAUUUGUUAAAGAUUUAUCGGUUGCGGAUGGGCAUGCGUACCAUUAGGUAGUUGGUGAGGUAACGGCUCACCAAGCCUUCGAUGGUUAGGGGUUCUGAGAGGAAGGUCCCCCAGACUGGGACUGAGAAAAGGACCAGACUGAUACGGGAGGGAGCAGUGAGGAAUAUUGGUGAAUGGACGAGAGCCUGAACCAGCCAAGUCGCGUGAAGGAUGACUGCGCUAGGGGUUGUAGACUUCUUUUACAAGGGAAUAAAAGGAGAUACGUGUAUUUUAUUGAAUGUACCGUGGAAAUAAGCAUCGGCUAACUACGUG
rnacentral:rRNA from 1 species